AUGGAGGCGUGUUCGGAGACGACGGAGGAAGCGGGAACCGAGAUGGCCAGGGGGAGUAGGAGAACGUCGAGGAAGAUGACAAAGACGGAGUAUCCAUCGGUGCUGGAUGCGAUGGAUGCCGCGAUGAAUCAGGUACUAGAGGAGCAAAUGGAGGGGCUGGUGGCGAGGUGGAACGCCGAGAACCCCGACGCGACGCCACUCGUGGUGGAAGCGCUCACGGAGGAGCAGCGAGAGUCGCUGGAGCGAGAGCAUUUGGCCAGGGAGGUGCUGAUUGGUCAGGCGUACGUGGAUAAGAUGGCGGCGGAAGACAUGGCAAGACUGGAGUUGGAGAAAACUAAACCGAAGAAGGAUCCCGACGAGCGGUCUUACCAAUAUUACCGAGAGAACUGGGAGUGGAAAUAUGCCGAAGAGUUCGGCUCCUUCGAGGCCACGACUCGGAUCCCAGCCAUGUGUUUCACGGACAAGCCGACGAAGCCUGGUGUUACUAACCCCGAGCGUAGUAUGCAGAUCUUUUCAGUUAAAGUUGAGGAAAUAUAUGGGGAUUUACAUUGGCCGCUGGAUGUGUUUGGUAUCGUUGCUGUGAGGGAUGACCUGGAUCACCGUCGCAAUAUUAUCUUUGAGCGCAAAAGGGAUAACUGUCAAACUCUCAAUGAGGAGGAUCCAUAUUUAGUAUUAACAGGUCCUACCCGUGCUCCCUUGACUCUGUUUGGGCCUAUGCAUUUCGAUAUCACGCUGAAAGUGAAGCGCAGCAAUGAGUUAGAGGACAAAGAUCUAAGCCUGCUAGGCUUUCGCUACGAGUGCUGCAAGUCAAUCAAUUAUCAAGCGAGUAAGGGAGAGCACGCCCUCAGAUCAUGCGUGAGCAGCCAAAAACAUAGAAGCAAGCUGAGCACAUUGGAGCUGACAUGUGGCAUUGUAGUCUCAUCCAUUGAGGCCACAAUCAGUGUGCGUAUUGUUGGCGGGUCCUGGCCAGAUGGAUUCAGCGGGCUGUUCAUUGCCUCGACUGCUAGCGUCAGUCACAUGAGGGUGUUACUGCUCAAUAUUGGAGAUAAGGAUACGCCUGUUGUUGCUGCUGAUGGCACCAUUGAGCUGUCACGACGCGUGGUUUCUGUUGAAAGCUUUGGGGAGCUGAGAGUGCAUGCAGCAGGUUGGCUAGGCAGCCAGCAGGUUGACCGUGAGGUGUUCUUUCAACCAUUAGAAUCUGGUAGAAGCUCUCGUUCGCUUAAGGUUGGCUCGUGUGAAAUGGAAGUUACCGUUGGCUGGUGCCUUUUUCCGUUAUGUUAUCCCACUGACGGUAUUCCUUCACCCAAGAAUGGGUGA
rnacentral:rRNA from 1 species